ACUGACUGGGUCACUGGUGAAGUUCCCCGCAGGAACUGAGUCAGACCCCAUCUCAGGGCCCUGCACAAGAUAGGUGCCUGCUCUAAGGCGUGGACCCUCGCCACAGCCCUGGCCCGUCUUGACGGGCGAGGGUUACUGUACUUGUCCCAACCGUACAGAUGAGAAAGCUGAGACUCAGGGCCAGCAACCCGGGUCCCAGCGGAGCGCCCGGCACACGCCGACACUUCAGCACCAGUGGCGGUGGCCACCACUGUGGGCGGAGAUGGCUGCGACGCGUGCGCAGAUCUCGAUCCCAAACUCCCUCCUGCCAGAAUCUGGACCCGAAUCCACCCAUUGCCCGUUUUCCGCUGCCGCUGGAGAGAAUCUCUGAGGUCCCCAGGAGAGCCUGCCUGCACGGAAGAGACGCCUCCUCGAUUAAAUGCUGUUUUCCAUGACCGUCUCUGUUCUUCCCAUACGGGAAUGGCAGGCAUUCAGAUCUCCAAGAAUAGAGGAUUAGGAGAGACUCCACCACCUAUGUCCUCACAGUUAAUUAUCGAUUUGUGUCAGUUGCCCAUUUUCUCACUUCCUGUUUGUGUGUCAAGGGGUAUUAAUAAAUCUUUGCCUAUUUAAAGAUAUUAGCCUUGGAUUUUCAAAUAUUGCAUAUUUUGACAUGUAAAAAUUUGUUAGUUUUAUUUUUUCAACCGAUCUGACCUGUAUAGUUGGGCUUGAGGAAGCUUCCUCAUUCUACAUGUUACUAUGGAUUUUCUAAUAUUAACACAGGGUUGUAUUUUUUCCAUAUAACUUUCUAUUGAAUUUCUUUUUCCAUAUGAUAGGUGGUGAAGGUUUAGCCCAGUAAAGCAGAGAGGUUAAGAGGUUAGAUUGGGGGCUCUGGAGCCAGACCUGUGUAGAUCUGAGUCGUGGCUCUGGCACUUGAAAGCCGUGUGACCUUGGUUAAGAUACUUAGUCCCUCUCUGCCAAAUGGAGAAAUAAGGGCACCUACCCCAUAGGGUAGUUGUGUGAUUACACAAGUUAAUACACUUCAAUCAGUAGCAAGAAAGUGAAUGUCAAGCUGUAUUUGUUCAGGCAGCCAUAUGGUAGCCCCACGUCCUUAGUAAACUGAGGUAUUGAAGUAUCUUCUUUUUCUUUCAGAAAAUAUUUGUCAAGCACCUUCUGUGUUCAAAGAACUGUUCUAGAGCUUUGCAUGCUAUGGAGGUCUAGAAAUUCACAUUAUGGUGGCAGGUGACAGACAAUACAAAGAGAUAAAGCAAUUUCAUAUAGUGAUAAGCUAGGGAGGAGUGCUAAAAGGAGCCAAGGUGUAGUGGUGACUGGAAGGUGACCAGGGAAACCACUGUAGGGUUUCUAAGUGAUGAGAUCUGUGACAAAUCCCUGUGGUCAGCAGCAGGCAUUGGAUAUGUAACUUUAUUCUGUCCCAUUGAUCUUGUAGUCAACCCUGGUCUGUUCUGUAUUGUUUUAAUUACAUAAUCUUUGUAAUAAUCUUUAA
rnacentral:lncRNA from 1 species